UACAGAGGGUGCGAGCGUUGUCCGGAAUCAUUGGGCGUAAAGCGCGCGUAGGUGGCUUCGUAAGUCCGUUGUGAAAGUCAAAGGCUCAACCUUUGAAAGCCGAUGGAUACUGCGGAGCUAGAGUACGGAAGAGGCGAGUGGAAUUCCUGGUGUAGCGGUGGAAUGCGCAGAUAUCAGGAGGAACACCAAUAGCGAAGGCAGCUCGCUGGGACGUUACUGACACUGAGGCGCGAAAGCGUGGGGAGCGAACAGG
rnacentral:rRNA from 1 species